UGCAAGCUGUGGCUGACUGCCCUGAAGAACCCUGUAAAAGUUGAUCGUGGGUCUCUCCUGUUCACUGCCGAGGCGUCACCAAAUGCACCACAGGGAGAAGACAGAGGAACUGUGCUGUUGCUGGUGGGAGAAGCAAGCCACAGCUAGCUGAAAAGAGUCUAGGAACAUUUUCCAAAUUUCCACCAUGGUAUCGCACCUCGGAGACAAACAUCAUAAUGGACAUUUCAGAAUCAUUCUGUGGAUAUUGAUGUAGAAGUAUAUCUAUGUGGGUGAUUAGUAGAGCCUUUCACCUCCUGUGAAUGUUGCUUAUGUGCUGAUAAACAAUGUGUGCAUAUUGGUUCUCUAGUCUGAAUAACAGUGUGAUUGA